rnacentral:rRNA from 1 species
GAAAAGAAACUAACAAGGAUUCCCCUAGUAACUGCGAGUGAAGCGGGAAAAGCUCAAAUUUAAAAUCUGGUGGCUUUGCCAUCCGAGUUGUAAUCUGGAGAAGCGUUUUCUGUGCUGGACCGUGUACAAGUCUCUUGGAACAGAGCGUCAUAGAGGGUGAGAAUCCCGUCCAUGACACGGACACCCAGUGCUAUGUGAUACGUUUUCAAAGAGUCGAGUUGUUUGGGAAUGCAGCUCAAAAUGGGUGGUAAGCUCCAUCUAAAGCUAAAUAUUGGCGAGAGACCGAUAGCGAACAAGUACCGUGAGGGAAAGAUGAAAAGCACUUUGGAAAGAGAGUUAAACAGUACGUGAAAUUGUUGAAAGGGAAACGCUUGAAGUUAGUCGCGUCUUACUUGACUCAGCCUUGCUUCGGCUUGGUGUAUUUCAUGUGAGACGGGUCAACAUCGAUUUUGACCGGCAGACAAGGGGAGUAAGAAUGUGGCACUCUUCGGAGUGUGUUAUAGCUUAUUCUCAUAUGUGUCGGUUGGGAUCGAGGACCGCAGCGCGCCCUUGUGGCCGGAGGUUCGCCUCACGUUACGCGCUUAGGAUGUGGCAAU